GCCGGUUCAGCUCGACCCCCCGGAGCUGAACCACCGACGGCCCCGCCAAUCCCCCCUGGCGGGGGCCGUCCCGU
rfam:Pseudonocardia sp. CNS-139 NODE_43_length_53273_cov_178.206_ID_47, whole genome shotgun sequence.